GGGUAACCGAGGUACAGUUCUGUUUAAGUGAGGCAUCUUCAGUAAAGAAGUUUUGAGCAAAGACGUUAUGUUGAAUACCGCUUCCUUGCCGAGAAUUAAUUUGUGCCCCAUGCAGUAGUGUCUCUGUUUUUUCUGUACAUAAGCCUUUGGGCGAAUAAACAUUCUAAGGAAUUUGUAAAAUGGCAAAGAUUAAAGGUCAGGUUAAGUGGUUCAACGAGUCUAAAGGUUUUGGUUUUAUUACCCCUGCUGACGGUAGCAAAGAUGUAUUUGUACAUUUCUCCGCUAUCCAGGGUAAUGGUUUCAAAACUCUUGCUGAAGGUCAGAACGUUGAGUUCGAAAUUCAGGAUGGACAGAAAGGCCCCGCUGCUGUGAACGUCACCGCAAUCUAAUUCCGGUUU
rnacentral:sRNA from 1 species